UAAAACCCAGAGAAGUCCCGGAGGGGGGUAAAUACUUUCUAUAAACACUGUAAAUUGUACCCAGAUGUCUGUUUAGAAGCGGCCGUGUCACCGUGU